ACAAACUUGGUCAUUUAGAGGAAGUAAAAGUCGUAACAAGGUCUCCGUUGGUGAACCAGCGGAGGGAUCAUUAAAGAGUUGUCCUAACUCCCAAACCCAUGUGAAUAUACCGUACGUUGUCUCGGCAGGUCGCGGGCUCACCUCGUAGGCUUCUCCUCCUACUCGGUGGUUCGCGGAUAAGCCUGCCGGUGGCCCCAACAAACUCUGUUAUUAUAUGAAUUUCUGAAUGUAAUAAACAAAAUAAGUUAAAACUUUCAACAACGGAUCUCUUGGUUCUGGCAUCGAUGAAGAACGCAGC
rnacentral:misc_RNA from 1 species